AGAAGAUUUAGUUUAAUGAAAAUGAGAAGUUUGUAACUUUUAGAUAUUUAAUUUAAUUUUCUU
rnacentral:tRNA from 1 species